rnacentral:rRNA from 1 species
AACGUACGCUGGCGGCACGCCUAACACAUGCAAGUCGAACGAAGUAGCAAUACUUAGUGGCAGACGGGUGAGUAACAUGUAGGUAUCUACCCUUUGGCCUGGAAUAACACGAGGAAACUUGUGCUAAUACCGGAUAAGUCUUUACGGAGAAAGCUUUAUGCACCAUUGGAUGAGCCUGCACUUGAUUAGUUUGUUGGUAGGGUAAUGGCCUACCAAGACUUUGAUCAAUAGCUGAUUUGAGAGGAUGAUCAGCCACAUUGGGACUGAGACACGGCCCAAACUCCUACGGGAGGCAGCAGUGGGGAAUCUUGCACAAUGGAGGAAACUCUGAUGCAGCGAUGCCGCGUGAGUGAAGAAGGCCUUUGGGUUGUAAAGCUCUUUCGUCGGGGAAGAAAAUGACUGUACCCGAAUAAGAAGGUCCGGCUAACUUCGUGCCAGCAGCCGCGGUAAUACGAAGGGACCUAGCGUAGUUCGGAAUUACUGGGCUUAAAGAGUUCGUAGGUGGUUGAAAAAGUUGGUGGUGAAAUCCCAGAGCUUAACUCUGGAACUGCCAUCAAAACUUUUCAGCUAGAGUUUGAUAGAGGAAAGCAGAAUUUCUAGUGUAGAGGUGAAAUUCGUAGAUAUUAGAAAGAAUACCAAUUGCGAAGGCAGCUUUCUGGAUCAUUACUGACACUGAGGAACGAAAGCAUGGGUAGCGAAGAGGAUUAGAUACCCUCGUAGUCCAUGCCGUAAACGAUGUGUGUUAGACGUUGGAAAUUUAUUUUCAGUGUCGCAGCGAAAGCGAUAAACACACCGCCUGGGGAGUACGACCGCAAGGUUAAAACUCAAAUGAAUUGACGGGGACCCGCACAAGUAGUGGAGCAUGUGGUUUAAUUCGAAGAUACGCGCAGAACCUUACCAACACUUGACAUGUUCGUCGCGACUCUAAGAGAUUAGAGUUUUCGGUUCGGCCGGACGAAACACAGGUGCUGCAUGGCUGUCGUCAGCUCGUGUCGUGAGAUGUUGGGUUAAGUCCCGCAACGAGCGCAACCCUCACUUUUAGUUGCCAUCAUUAAGUUGGGCACUCUGAAAGAACUGCCAGUGAUAAGCUGGAGGAAGGUGGGGAUGACGUCAAGUCCUCAUGGCCCUUACGUGUUGGGCUACACACGUGCUACAAUGGUAUCUACAACAGGAAGCAAAACAGCGAUGUUAAGCAAAUCCUUAAAAGAUACCUCAGUUCGGAUUGCACUCUGCAACUCGAGUGCAUGAAGCUGGAAUUACUAGUAAUCGUGGAUCAGCGUGCCACGGUGAAUGCGUUCCCGGGUCU